GGCAUCUUGUUAACAUGCAGAUCCUGAGAAAGCAGGUCUGGGGUGAGGCCUGAACUUCUGCAUUUUUAACAAGCUC
rnacentral:miRNA from 1 species